UUGACUCGUGCCCUCCAUUGAGGUAUAUAUUUUAUUGAUGAUUCUUUUAUUAUGCAGGACCGCAGUACGGGACAGACGAUUGGAACAUAACUUGAAUCAGAAGGACUCUACUACCUUAACUCACUAACAUCCUCCAAGGCCUGUCUAGUUGCAGAUCCUCCAGACCUACUUCACAUUCGUUUAGAACAUCCUAGCUUGUCCAAGCUUCAGAAGAUGGUGCCUAGUUUUUCUAGUUUAUCCACAUUAGAGUGUGAGUCAUGUCAGCUCGGGAAACAUACCCGAGCCUCCUUUCCUCGUAGUAUUGAGUCGUGCAGAGUCUGUUUUUUCUUUAGUUCAUUCGGAUAUAUGGGGUCAUAGUAGAGUCAGUUCAACCUUGGGAUUUCGUUAUUUGUUAGUUUCAUUGAUGAUCAUUCAAGAUGUACUUGGAUUUUCUUAAUGAAAGAUCGUUAGGACUUGAAUUAGAAGUACUCUACUACUUUAACUCAGUAAAACCCUCCAAGGCCUGUCUAGUUGCAGAUCCUCCAAACCUACUUCACAGUCGUUUAGGACAUCCUAGCUUGUCCAAGCUUUAGAACAUGGUGCCUAGUUUGUCUAGUUUAUCCACAUUAGAGUGUGAGUCAUGUCAGCUCGGGAAACAUACCCGAGCCUCCUUUCCUCGUAGUAUUGAGAG
rnacentral:lncRNA from 1 species